rnacentral:rRNA from 1 species
GCCUACGGCCAUACUUUUUUGAAAACACCGGUUCUCGUCCGAUCACCGAAGUUAAGCAACGUCGGGCCCGGUUAGUACUUCGAUGGAAGACCGCCUGGGAAUACCGGAUGCUGUAGACU